CUCCUCCUCAAAACCAUCGAUCGAUUUCGUUAAGAGCAUCUCUCUUCCCAGCCUCUUCCUCAAAACCAUCGAUCUCAAAACCAUCGGUUUCUAUAGAAAUCGAUCUCUCAAGAGGAUUCAAAACCCAAUUCGGUCGCUCCUCCGCCACACGCCUCAAACCCAAAGCAAACCAUCGAUCGAUCUAUCAAGAGGAUUCAAAACCCAACUCCGUCGCUCCUCCGCCACACGCCCCAAACCCAAAGCAUUCCCGGAUCGAUCUCUCUGUCUCUUCAAAACCCAACUCCUCAUGGAUGUUUUUUGGGACAUGAGUUGCUGGGCUUUGGUGUUUCUGAUUCUUGGAGCUAUUUGGCUGUUUUGACUAGUAUAUAGAACCGUUGAUUAGUAUAUAGAACCGUUGUUUAAAAAUCAUAUCUAUUGCUAACAUUGUAUUUCAAAUUUUCAAUUGGUCUUGGUUUUCGAUUAUUGUGUGGAUCAAGUUUAGUUCAAUAUGUCUUUUCUGUUUUAUGUGUAUUUUGGAAUUUUUUGCUCUUAAUUGAUUUCUCCUAUAGACAUUUUAUUGUUUUUUUGAGUUUGCUCAAUGCCUUGGUUCAUGUCCAGAUUCUAGGAAAUAAAUUGAUGGUUUGAUAUGAUUUUUGCUGUCUCAGACACAGAGAAGUUCUAUACUGAAAGAACGUGAGAGUGAGGGAGAUAGAGAGAAGGGCUGCAAUAGAAUAGAAAGAAAGAAAUAAACAGAAAGGAAACAAAAGAGAGAGAGAUGUAUAUUGAAAUGUAAUUGGAGGUGGUUGUGGUGUGUGUUUGGUGGAGGGAGAUAAUUGUGUGGUAGAUGUUGGUGUUGCAGAACCUUAUUUCAGAUUAGGUUGCUGCUCAGUUCAGCUUGUCUACUGUGAUGACCUGGUUGUUAUGGUUUUAGAAAGUGACUUGUUAAUUUGUUUGUGCUCUGUUGCCUCGUGUUUAAAUAAUCUAUUGGACUUAACCUUAACUUAAAGUUAAGUGAUGCCAUCUAUAAAGUAUACAACAAACAAAAUAGAUAUAGAUAUAUAUGUGUGAUUGUGUGUGUUCUUAUGUUUAGCUUAGUUCUUGUCAAGUUGGCUUUAGUUUCUGCAUUCUGUUGUUUUUGACCCAGUUUCAUUUUUACUAAAAACUGUACAUUUCGGCUGGGUAUUUGUAGUUGGUGUCUUCAUAAAAGUUUCAGUGGACAUCUUGAAGAUCAUUUCAGAAUUGGAAUCUCAUAAAAAGGAUUUCUCUAGAUUAAAUUAUGAAUUUUCGAAGUUGAAGGUCUGCAUCAGGAAAUUCUGUGAAUUGUUUUUGACCCAGUUUCAUUUUUACUAAAAAAUGUACAUUUCGGCUGGAUUAAAUUAUGAUUUUUCGAAGUUGAAGGUCUGCAUCAGGAAAUUCUGCGAAUUGUUUUUGACCCAGUUUCAUUUUUACUAAAAACUGUA
rnacentral:lncRNA from 1 species